rnacentral:rRNA from 1 species
UACAGAGGUCUCAAGCGUUGUUCGGAUUCAUUGGGCGUAAAGGGCUCGUAGGCGGCCAACUAAGUCGGACGUGAAAUCCCCAGGCUCAACCUGGGAACUGCGUCCGAUACUGGAUGGCUUGAAUCCGGGAGAGGGAUGCAGAAUUCCAGGUGUAGCGGUGAAAUGCGUAGAUAUCUGGAGGAAUACCGGUGGCGAAGGCGGCAUCCUGGACCGGCAUUGACGCUGAGGAGCGAAAGCCAGGGGAGCAAACGGG